UAUAUUCAAUAGUUUUUUGAACUUUUUGAAAAUAUUUUUAAAGGACCUUAAGGAUCAGUAUUUGCUUUUCUUCGUCACACUAAUACUGUCUGUUACGUCUCUAUGCCCGAACGCCUGAACUAAUUUUAAUAAAAUUUCGUAAGAAGUUUGCUGUCAUAUUUGCAUAUAGACUACAUUUUACCAGCAAUAACCAAUAUCGGUACCUUAAAUUAAUUAAU